rnacentral:lncRNA from 1 species
AUUCAAGGGCACUUCCUUAAUGUUGCAAGUGACUUAAGGAAACAAUCACUGGCCAUGGGCAGGCAGAAGAGAGUAGACUGAGCUGAAGGGAAAGUUACUGGUUUACCUCUGGAGUUUCCCUCUGUCCCUGAGUCUUUUCCUUUCCUAGGGCAAGAGCCACCCUAUGGGGUUGGAACAGGAUUUUGAGCCUCCUGCAAAGGUGCAUCCUGGGCCCUGGAGCCUGACUCCAUGCCAAGUGCUGAAGCUGUCACCAUGGUUAAGAUCCCCACCAUCUGCAGCCUACUACAGGGGAGGCUACACUCCUGAAGAAACGGGAUUUGGAGUUGUUCCAGCUGAUGUCAAAGACCACACACAAGGACAUGGACCUCAAUGGCUCAUUCACACGAGCAUGACAGUUACCCAGGAUGAACUGCAAAAAGCUAUCUGUGGAUGGUUAACUGCAGAAAAUUCAACUUUAUGCUGUCCAGAAGAGGCAUACUAACUCAUAAAAAUUAAAAGACUGACCCAGAAAGCACAGCAAAAAGAAAAAAAAAGUCACAAAAUGAUUGUCAGUCCAAUUAAAAUUCAAGACUGGAAGAAUUCAUGGGUCACAGAAG